rnacentral:rRNA from 1 species
UACGUAGGGUGCGAGCGUUGUCCGGAAUUAUUGGGCGUAAAGGGCUCGUAGGCGGUUUGUCGCGUCGGGGAGUGAAAACCCAGGGCUUAACCCUGGGCUGGCUUCCGAUACGGGCAGACUAGAGGUAUGCAGGGGAGAACGGAAUUCCUGGUGUAGCGGUGAAAUGCGCAGAUAUCAGGAGGAACACCGGUGGCGAAGGCGGGUCUCUGGGCUGACACUGACGCUCGAUGCACGAAAGCGUGGGGAGCAAACAGG